rnacentral:rRNA from 1 species
UUAAGCCCGUACCGUAAACCGACACAGGUGGAUGAGGAGAGAAUCCUAAGGCCGACGGGAGAAGCAUUGUUAAGGAACUCGGCAAAAUGACUCCGUAACUUCGGGAGAAGGAGUGCCAGCGAGAGCUGGCCGCAGAGAAUUGGCCCUAGCAACUGUUUAGCAAAAACACAGGUCUAUGCAAAACCGUAAGGUGAAGUAUAUGGGCUGACGCCUGCCCGGUGCUGGAAGGUUAAGAGGAGAGGUUAGCGGUAACGCGAAGCUUUGAAUUUAAGCCCCAGUAAACGGCGGCCGUAACAAUAACGGUCCUAAGGUAGCGAAAUUCCUUGUCGGGUAAGUUCCGACCCGCACGAAAGGCGUAAUGAUUUGGGCACUGUCUCAACAAUGCACCCGGUGAAAUUGAAAUACCAGUGAAGAUGCUGGUUACCUGCGCCAGGACGGAAAGACCCCAUGGAGCUUUACUCCAGCUUGAUACUGGGAUUCGGUAUUGCAUGUACAGGAUAGGUGGGAGGCUAGGAAGUGAUAACGCCAGUUGUCACGGAGCCGCUGUUGGGAUACCACCCUUGCAGUAUUGGAUUUCUAACCAGCGACCAUGAACUGGUCGGGGGACAAUGUCAGGUGGGGAGUUUGACUGGGGCGGUCGCCUCCGAAAGGGUAUCGGAGGCGCUCAAAGGUUCCCUCAGAAUGGACGGAAACCAUUCGAAGAGUGCAAAGGCAGAAGGGAGCUUGACUGCGACACCGACGGGUGGAGCAGGUACGAAAGUAGGACUUAGUGAUCCGGUGGUAUAAAGUGGGAUUGCCACCGCUCAACGGAUAAAAGCUACCCUGGGAUAACAGGCUUAUCACUCCCAAGAGUUCACAUCGACGGAGUGGUUUGGCACCUCGAUGUCGGCUCAUCGCAUCCUGGGGCUGAAGUAGGUCCCAAGGGUUGGGCUGUUCGCCCAUUAAAGCGGUACGCGAGCUGGGUUCAGAACGUCGUGAGACAGUUCGGUCCCUAUCCGGCGUGGGCGUAGGAUAUUUGAGAGGAGCUGUCCUUAGUACGAGAGGACCGGGAUGGACUGGCCGCUGGUGUAUCUGUUGCAUACCAAAUGCAUGGCAGAGUAGCCAAGCCGGGACGGGAUAAACGCUGAAGGCAUCUAAGCGUGAAGCCCCCCUCAAGAUGAGAUAUCCCUACGUAAGUAGUAAGACCCCUUGAAGACGACGAGGUAGAUAGGUCAGAGGUGGAAGUACAGUAAUGUAUGGAGCUGACUGAUACUAAUCGGUCGAGGGCAUGACC